rnacentral:rRNA from 1 species
ACUCCUACGGGAGGCAGCAGUGGGGAAUAUUGGACAAUGGGCGAAAGCCUGAUCCAGCAAUGCCGCGUGAGUGAUGAAGGCCUUAGGGUUGUAAAGCUCUUUUACCAGGGAUGAUAAUGACAGUACCUGGAGAAUAAGCUCCGGCUAACUCCGUGCCAGCAGCCGCGGUAAUACGGAGGGGGCUAGCGUUGUUCGGAAUUACUGGGCGUAAAGCGCACGUAGGCGGCCAUUCAAGUCAGAGGUGAAAGCCCGGGACUCAACCCCGGAACUGCCUUUGAAACUAGAUGGCUUGAAUCUUGGAGAGGCGAGUGGAAUUCCGAGUGUAGAGGUGAAAUUCGUAGAUAUUCGGAAGAACACCAGUGGCGAAGGCGACUCGCUGGACAAGUAUUGACGCUGAGGUGCGAAAGCGUGGGGAGCAAACAGGGUUAGAUACCCUGGUAGUCCACGCCGUAAACGAUGAUAACUAGCUGUCCGGGUUCAUGGAACUUGGGUGGCGCAGCUAACGCAUUAAGUUAUCCGCCUGGGGAGUACGGUCGCAAGAUUAAAACUUAAAGGAAUUGACGG